rnacentral:rRNA from 1 species
GACGAACGCUGGCGGCGUGCUUAACACAUGCAAGUCGAACGGAAAGGCCCUGCUUUUGUGGGGUGCUCGAGUGGCGAACGGGUGAGUAACACGUGAGUAACCUGCCCUUGACUUUGGGAUAACUUCAGGAAACUGGGGCUAAUACCGGAUAGGAGCUCCUGCUGCAUGGUGGGGGUUGGAAAGUUUCGGCGGUUGGGGAUGGACUCGCGGCUUAUCAGCUUGUUGGUGGGGUAGUGGCUUACCAAGGCCUUGACGGGUAGCCGGCCUGAGAGGGGGACCGGCCACAUUGGGACGGAGAUACGGCCCAGACUCCUACGGGAGGCAGCAGUGGAGAAUAUUGCACAGUGGGCGGAAGCCUGAUGCAGCAACGCCGCGUGCGGGAUGACGGCCUUCGGGUAGUAAACCGCUUUCGCCUGUGACGAAGCGUGAGUGACGGUAAUGGGUAAAGAAGCACCGGCUAACUACGUG